rnacentral:rRNA from 1 species
CUAGGAUUAGAUACCCUAUUAUUAAAAUUUAAAUUGAAAAUACUAAAAUAGUAGAUAAUUAUUUAUUGAAACUUAAAUAAUUUGGCGGUAUUUUAGUUCAUUUAGAGGAAUCUGUUUAAUAAUUGAUAAUCCACGAAUAAAUUUACUUAAUUUUUUAUUUUGUAUAUCGUUGUUAAAGAAAUAUUUUUUAAUAAUAAUAAUAUUUAAAAAUUUUGAUUAAAAAUUAAAUCAGAUC